GACGAACGCUGGCGGCGUGCUUAACACAUGCAAGUCGAACGGAAAGGCCCUGCUUUUGUGGGGUGCUCGAGUGGCGAACGGGUGAGUAACACGUGAGUAACCUGCCCUUGGCUUUGGGAUAACUUCAGGAAACUGGGGCUAAUACCGGAUAGGAGCUCCUGCUGCAUGGUGGGGGUUGGAAAGUUUCGGCGGUUGGGGAUGGACUCGCGGCUUAUCAGCUUGUUGGUGGGGUAGUGGCUUACCAAGGCUUUGACGGGUAGCCGGCCUGAGAGGGUGACCGGCCACAUUGGGACUGAGAUGAGACACGGACUCCUACGGGAGGCAGCGGUGGAGAAUAGUGCACAAUGGGCGGAAGCCUGGUGCAGCAACGCCGCGUGCGGGAUGACGGCCUUCGGGUUGUAAACCGCUUUCGCCUGUGACGAAGCGUGAGUGACGGUAAUGGGUAAAGAAGCACCGGCUAACUACGUG
rnacentral:rRNA from 1 species